ACACUGUCAAUGCAAAAUCAUAAAUCAUCACCAAAUGUUUAUUUAUUGAUUAGUUUUGUUUAAACAGAAAAUCUUUUCCAUCCUGGUGUCAGAUGAGAUUCCUGUGAUCGAGCAGCACUCUGACAGAAGAAGACGUCAUGCAGGUCAAGACUGAGGUGAUAUUCACUAUAUUCGGGAUUAUUUCCUACUGAAUCUAUUGUCAGAACCAUUUCACGUCCUCCAUGAAUCCACAGUCCACCUUAAACGUGCUGAUGUUUGAUGCUGUGAGCUCUACUGGUCUCUAGAACUUUGUAGUGGGUGUGUUGCUGACCACAGAUGUGUGACUGGCUCCUGGAUCACCGAGUGGACACAAAGAUGAAGGGGAAAAGGUCCAUGAUGUGUUGAAGCGCCUGCACCUGGCCAUGUCCAACAAGAGGGACAAGAAGUGAAACAAGCCCGACGCUCUCACAGUCUGCUGAAGAAACUCAAAUGUGAGGCCUCCGAGCCCCCAACCUCCAGAACCAGAGCACCCAGACCUCCACAGGACAAGUCUGGACUCAGAGACCCCAAAGUAACCCACAUACAGACUCAUAUCAGCAGCAGGAUUUUCUCAGGCCUAAAGAGGGUCUGGUCAGAUGAUUUCACAACUUUCCAUGGGCCAGUGCUGUGUGUAAAAUCCCCCAGUCGUCCAGGUAGAAUCCACGGCAAAGGAGAAAUUCAAUUUAUCAACUGGACAAAAAAAUAUUUUGGUCGAAUACGUUUCAUGACUCAUCCAAGCUGCUUCUUCAAUAUUCAUUUUAUUGUAAUCAUUAAAAUUGACAUAUAACCCAGCAAUACUAGACUGAACUAUUACUAUUACUAUUACUAUUACUAUUACUAUUACUAUUAUAUUCAAAAUCAUACACUACAUUAUUUCUUGUG